GACGAACGCUGGCGGCGUGCCUAACACAUGCAAGUCGAACGGGGUAACUCCUUCGGGGACUACUUAGUGGCGAACGGGUGAGUAACGCGUGAGAAACCUGCCUUUCAGUGGGGGACAACAGUUGGAAACGACUGCUAAUACCGCAUAAUGUUUCGAGAGGGCAUCCUCUUGAAACCAAAGCUUUAUGUGCUGAAAGAUGGUCUCGCGUCUGAUUAGCUAGUUGGCGGGGUAACGGCCCACCAAGGCGACGAUCAGUAGCCGGUCUGAGAGGAUGAACGGCCACAUUGGGACUGAGAUACGGUCCAGACUCCUACGGGAGGCAGCAGUGGGGAAUAUUGGGCAAUGGGCGCAAGCCUGACCCAGCAACGCCGUGUGAAGGAAGAAGGUCUUCGGAUUGUAAACUUUGUCUUAUGGGACGAUAAUGACGGUACCAUAGGAGGAAGUCACGACUAACUACGUG
rnacentral:rRNA from 1 species